UCAGAUAAGUGUUUUAUAGUUAUAAUUAGAAUGUUAGAACUGAAGAUGAACCCAAGUAUGUAAGGCAAAGUAUCUCAACGGGAAUUUAACUACUGUCGCAACACUACACUACCAAUGUAUAGUGUGGCAUAGAAAUAAUGCAGACGAACUUAAAAACAUUGCUAAAGGACUACUGUUUGAUCCAGGAAUAUCAUAUUAGCUCCAAACAGCCUCUAAUCUUUAUAACUAUUCACCAGAAUUAUGUUUUUACCUAUACAUUUUGAAUACUGUAAACGAGGAAUUUCAAAAUCUUUAUUAUAAAGUAACAUAAAGUAUAAAUUAACAGUACACUUUCACCAACAUAGAGAUAUUGACCAAAGAUUUUCACUUUGGCCAAAACAGCGAUAAUGCCAGUAUUACUCGUUCAGUUGCGACGAAAUAUUUAGCUACUAUGGCAAAAAAUUCUUAGAUAUAGUGGUACUUUUUUUCCGUGCUGGAUUAAUAGCGUAUUAAAUUUUCAUCCGAUUAACUUCGUUCUGGACUUAUAUUCAAGGGACACAUAAUUUACUUGUCAAAGGAAUGAUCUUCUAUGAUCAAACAAUGUUUCUCAAUUAUACGCAAAUAUCUGAAGCAUCAUUUAAAUAAGCUUCUACUAAAAGUGGGCAGUAGAAUUUAAAGUCAACAAACUAGAUUGUAUAACAAAUACAUUAUACUAAUUUUAAAAUAAAAUGCUCUGAGAAUAAUAAUCAGAGAUGAAGAACGAAAAUAAUAAAUCGCAAACAAAAAGAGAGUAAGGUAUAUAUUUGAAAUGUUGAAUUUUAGGAAAAAAUAUUGAAAAUUAUCAGGAGGAGAAUAAGGAAAAUACAAUACAGAACUUUUUGACUACGUUUACAAUACAAUCCAAACUAAGACCUAUAAUUUAAUUUGUUUUAAUUUGACACAAUUAAAGAAUUUCAGAAUGAAUGGGAAGCUUUAAAGAAGAUAUAAAAGAUGAAGAGAGCAAAACUAAAUUCUUACGUGCCAUCCGGCUCUGCUCAGCGUCCUCAACAAAUAAAGAGGCAAUACUUCAACGACAUGAAUUUAUAAAAAGGGACAAUUUCUACCGUUUUUUCAAUUUUGUCAGAUUUAAACUGCCAAAUUGACAAUUUUUACUUCAAAUCAUUGAUCAGCGACCGAGAAUACAUCUAGAAUGGCUAUGAAAAAAAUUUUAACGCUCUUAAAAUUUUCAUAGGAGCUUAAACAGACAAAAAAUGA